GGACCGAGCUGGAGGAGCUGGGUGUGGGGUGCGUUGGGCUGGUGAGGAGGCCGAGUUUGGGAGCAAAUAGGGUCUGAUUGAGCUUAUAUUGCACUGAAGGGACAGCCCUGGGUCUAGGGGAGAAAAUCCCUGAGUGUGAGACCCGCCUUCCCUGGCCCCAGCCCCUCCCAGUUCCCCCAGCGACGGGCACUUCCUGGUCCCCGACGCAACCAUGGCUGAAGAACAACCGCAGGUCAAAUUGUUCGUGAAGGCUGGCAGUGAUGGGGCCAAGAUUGGGAACUGCCCGUUCUCCCAGAGACUGUUCAUGGUACUGUGGCUCAAGGGAGUCACCUUCAAUGUUACCACCGUUGACACCAAAAGGCGGACCGAGACAGUGCAGAAGCUGUGCCCAGGAGGGCAGCUCCCAUUCCUGCUGUAUGGCACUGAAGUGCACAGACACCAGCAAGAUUGAGGAAUUUCUGGAGGCAGUGCUGUGCCCUCCCAGGUACCCCAAGCUAGCGGCUCUGAACCCUGAGUCCAACACUGCUGGGCUGGACAUAUUUGCCAAAUUUUCUGCCUACAUCAAGAAUUCAAACCCAGCACUCAAUGAUAAUCUGGAGAAGGGACUCCUGAAAGCCCUGAAGGUUUUAGACAAUUACUUAACAUCCCCCCUCCCAAAAGAAGUGGAUGAAACCAGUGCUGAAGAUGAAGGUGUCUCUCAGAGGAAGUUUCUGGAUGGCAACGAGCUCACCCUGGCUGACUGCAACCUGUUGCCAAAGUUACACAUAGUACAGGUGGCGUGUAAGAAGUACCGGGGAUUCACCAUCCCCGAGGCCUUCCGGGGAGUGCGUCGGUAUUUGAGCAAUGCCUACCCGCGGGAAGAAUUCGUUUCCACCUGUCCAGAUGAUGAGGAGAUCGAGCUCGCCUAUGAGCAAGUGGCCAAGGCCCUCAAAUAAGCCCCUCCUGGGACUCCCUCAACCCCCUCCAUUUUCUUCACAAAGGCCCUGGUGGUUUCCACAUUGCUACCCAAUGGACACACUCCAAAAUGGCCAGUGGUCAGGUAAUCCUGGAUCACUUGUUCCGGGAUGGUGUGGUGGAAGAGGGGAUGAGGGAAAGAAAUGGGGGGACUGAGUGAGAUUUUUAUUGUAGGGUGGGAUGGGUAGGACAACAUAUUUCAGUAAUAAAAUACAGAAUAAAAA